GCUGCCGGCCCAGCGCUUUGGGGAGUGACUUCCGGCCAUGCGGGGCCUCUACCGCUGCCAUCGCGGUCCCGGUCUCCUGAAGUGGAACCCGGCUUGGAGUCGAGCGCGACCCCUCGCCCGUGGGCGCAGGCGAUCGAGUAAGGGUGGGGCGGGCCUCAAACCCGGAUCAGAACCCGCCCUGACCGGCGCAGAGAUACGGGACGCAGCCGUGAGCACUGUUUUUUAUUUCACCAUGGACCCAUCGGCGUGGGGCGCCCGCCCCGGGUGUCCUUCCUCCCCCGGGCAGCCAGAUGCUGGAACGGGAGGCACAUGUUCCGGCCCCGGCCCCUGGGAAGGAAAGAAAGGACCUUCCCGUUUCACUUGUCUCGGCUGAACAUGUAGCGGAGGAGGUCGACCACCCGGUGACUGUAGCCAUAUUCGUUGUCGUACCUGUGGAGGAGGGGUCGGGAGGUUCAAGGGGGUUCCUUCCGACCACCCCUUAGUUCCCCUCCCUCUAAGUCUCCAGCUCCUUCCCCCUUACCAUGAAAUGAGCUUCACGAAAUUGUCAUUGAGCGCAAUGCCGGCCUUAGCAUCGAAGAUGGACGAGUGGGUAUCACCGAGGAAGUCCGUAGAGACGACCUGGAAGUCAGAAUUUCAAAGAUAAGUGUGUCCGGCAGAGCAAGGACCUCCAGGAGCUGAGGCCCCGACUCUUAACUCUAUCGCCCAUCCAUGCAUUCAUCUAUAAUAUUUGAUGUAGCCCUACUGUGUCCAGUCUCUGGACUGGAGGGUAUGACCAAGUGCAGGGUAUGACCAAGGCACUGUGUCAGGGUCUGGCCAAAGGGCACAGGUCACAAACACCCUCAUGCUGUACCAGUACAUCCCUUUCCUAGGAAUAAUGCAAGCGUUUGGAAUGGGCCAGCAUGGAGGGCCUCUCUGAGGGGUGGCCAUGAGCCUGGGUCUAGAUGACUAGAAAGAUCUGACCGGCUGGGGCCCUCAGCACAGUGUCUGAGGUAGAAGGAGCUGCAGGAAGGGAGGACCUGAGGGUUUUAGCCCUAGUGUCAUGAAAGGCCACAGGAGUGUUUUCAAUCCUGAAAACGGGUGAUGCAAUGUGAUUCCAUUAAAACAAAAGAUCCCAGUGACUGUGGGAAAGUGGACCUGCAGGAGUUAAUGCAGGGAGACAGCACCAAGGUGGAUGUACAGGGGUCCACCAUGACCAUGGCAUCCACUCCUCACAGAGAAGGCAUCUGGCCAUGGCCUGGCCCUGAGCAAGUAUUGAAAAAAAUGGGAGCUGUUGUCUUUUGUUCACUAAGCAUGUAUUAGUCACCUGCUGUAUGCCAGGUUGGAGCCACAAAAGUGAAAAGGCAGCCCCUAAAUCCCUGUUUUCUUGGAGUGCACACACCACUGGGGCCAACAGUGACUAUGAAAUGAAAUUUCAGGUGAGGAAUAUGGCCACAAAAAGAACAUAUUUUGAGGGGGUGCCUUGCUGAAGAGGGAGGUUCCUCCAGAGACUUGGAGGAAGUAAGGACAGACUGUAUGGUCACCUGGCAAGGGAAGCAUUCCAGACUAAAGGAACAGCAAGUGCAAAGGCCCUGAGGCAGGGAGAUCUCCCUUCCUGCCCUGCAGUUUCUGACUUGGCACAUUGAGAGCAGCUCCCUGGCAAGUGGAAAUCAUGUCCCUUCCCAGAGGGCUCCUCCCAGGGUCUCCUCUCCUCAGCCCCUACCUCAUCCUCGGUGUAGGCAAGGAUGCCAGCCAUGGGCCCCUUGGCUGCUGCUUUUACAGCCUCCUUGAUGGCUGAGUAGGGGGCAGGCUGGGCGAGGCGGCAGGUCAGGUCCACGACAGACACAUCCGGGGUUGGUACCCGGAACGCCAUCCCUGUCAGCUUCCUGGAGAAUCCCCCAUGAGGAACAGGAGUCAGAACUUAGGGACGUUGCCCUCCAUUCCCCCUUUCCCUGUGGCUGGGCCAGGCCCCUGCUUUCCUCUUAAGGACUGAGGGCCGGGCCAGUCCAGUCCUCCUGGCGUAUGCCCCCACCCUGGUUGCAGCUUCUUGUCCUCAUACCCUUUGAGCUCUGGGAUGACUUUGGUCACAGCUUUCGCAGCCCCAGUGGAGGCUGGGAUGAUGUUCUGGUGGGCACCCCGCCCAUCUCGCCAGGCCUUCCUUGAUGGCCCGUCCACUGUCUUCUGGGUGGCCGUGUAGGAAUGGACUGUGGUCUUGGGGAAGAGAAGGACCAAGAUGAGGCCUUCAUGCUCCUAAGCUCCCAUGCCUCUUUUUUCCAGGACUAAGUUGGUGGCCUAGGUGUGGAGGCUGGUGGGGCCACCACCACAGACCACAGGAGGGGAUGUGUGCAGGCCAGGGUCCAGCCUUGCCUGAGGGUUGCACAGUGUUUUAAGUGACUUCUGCACUGGUGGGCCUCUCCUCCCGAAACCAGUCUCUCCCUCUUAACUCCAUACAGUAAGCAAGGCCCGGGAAGAAGUUGGGUUUCCCUGCCAUCCUUCCUGCCCCAGCCCCUCAUCCUCAACUCACCAUCAACCCUUCCACGAUCCCAAAUCGCUCGUGGAUGACUUUGGCGAGGGGAGCCAAACAGUUGGUGGUGCAGGACGCGUUGCUGAAACAGCCAAGGUGUGCACGGACACUGUGAGGUGGUGACCUCCCCAACUCAGCCCUCAACCUCCUCAGAGGCGCCAAUGCUGACUGCUGUCAGCCAGCCCAGACCCUUUCUCCAUAUGCUGCCCGGGACGUGGACUCUGUGACUGUGAGGCCUGCCCGGCUGCUUUCUGCUUCCCAGCUCUGACAACCUCGCCAUGAACCCUCCUAGACCCUCAGCUCCUGCAAUAGGAAGCUGGCUGCCAAAGGCCAGGAGGGUCCCUGAAAACAGACACUGCAUUAAAGAAAAAGCUCCUGGAGGACUCCUGAAGCCUGAGGCAGCCUUGGGGCAGCAGUGGCUCAUGGUUUACAUUGGAAAGGUAAGGGAGGUUUCUGGUUUCCUGUUUUAUAAAUUUAUGUUUUUACUUGGUAUUUUGACAAACAUUUGUAUUUGAAGCACACUAAACAUCUAGUAUUGCCGUUUUCUACUUGGCUUUAGCAAAC
rnacentral:lncRNA from 1 species